AGCGAACGCUGGCGGCAGGCCUAACACAUGCAAGUCGAACGAAGUCUUCGGACUUAGUGGCGGACGGGUGAGUAACACGUGGGAACGUGCCUUUAGGUUCGGAAUAACUCAGGGAAACUUGUGCUAAUACCGAAUGUGCCCUUCGGGGGGAAGAUUUAUCGCCUUUAGAGCGGCCCGCGUCUGAUUAGCCAGUUGGUGAGGUAAAGGCUCACCAAGGCUACGAUCAGUAGCUGGUCUGAGAGGAUGACCAGCCACAUUGGGACUGAGACACGGCCCAAACUCCUACGGGAGGCAGCAGUGGGGAAUCUUGCGCAAUGGGCGAAAGCCUGACGCAGCCAUGCCGCGUGGAUGAUGAAGGUCUUAGGAUUGUAAAAUCCUUUCACCGGUGAAGAUAAUGACUGUAGCCGGAGAAGAAGCCCCGGCUAACUUCGUGCCAGCCGCCGCCGUAAGAC
rnacentral:rRNA from 1 species